rnacentral:rRNA from 1 species
CACGUAGGGUGCGAGCGUUGUCCGGAAUUAUUGGGCGUAAAGAGCUCGUAGGUGGUUUGUCGCGUUGUUCGUGAAAUCUCACGGCUUAACUGUGAGCGUGCGGGCGAUACGGGCAGACUGGAGUACUGCAGGGGAGACUGGAAUUCCUGGUGUAGCGGUGGAAUGCGCAGAUAUCAGGAGGAACACCGGUGGCGAAGGCGGGUCUCUGGGCCGAUACUGACGCUGAGGAGCGAAAGCGUGGGGAGCGAACAGG